rnacentral:rRNA from 1 species
UACGUAGAAGACUAGUGUUAUUCAUCUUUAGUAGGUUUAAAGGGUACCUAGACGGUAAAAUUAAUCUUAAACAAGAUAUGUUUUACUAGAGUUAUAUAUGAGGAGGUAGAGUAUUUAUGGAGUACGAGUUGAAAUUUGUUGAUCCCAUAACGACUGGUAGCGGCGAAAGCAAUCUUUUAUGUAAUAACUGACGUUGAGGGACGAAGGCGUCGGGUCACGAACAGG